rnacentral:rRNA from 3 species
AAUCCAUAGGUUAAUGAGGCGAACCGGGGGAACUGAAACAUCUAAGUACCCCGAGGAAAAGAAAUCAACCGAGAUUCCCCCAGUAGCGGCGAGCGAACGGGGAGGAGCCCAGAGCCUGAAUCAGCAUGUGUGUUAGUGGAAGCGUCUGGAAAGGCGCGCGAUACAGGGUGACAGCCCCGUACACAAAAGCGCAUGUGCUGUGAGCUCGAUGAGUAGGGCGGGACACGUGGUAUCCUGUCUGAAUAUGGGGGGACCAUCCUCCAAGGCUAAAUACUCCUGACUGACCGAUAGUGAACCAGUACCGUGAGGGAAAGGCGAAAAGAACCCCGGCGAGGGGAGUGAAAAAGAACCUGAAACCGUGUACGUACAAGCAGUGGGAGCCCCACCACUAAGCCAGUGGUGAACUCCACAUACGCAUCCUUUGCUGAGGAUACGGUUAACGGAGCGAAAGCGACGUUCAACCGCAAAAGAAGCAGAGGGGGCUUAGUGGUGGGGUGACUGCGUACCUUUUGUAUAAUGGGUCAGCGACUUAUAUUCUGUAGCAAGGUUAACCGAAUAGGGGAGCCGGAGGGAAACCGAGUCUUAAUUGGGCGUUAAGUUGCAGGGUAUAGACCCGAAACCCGGUGAUCUAGCCAUGGGCAGGUUGAAGGUUGGGUAACACUAACUGGAGGACCGAACCGACUAAUGUUGAAAAAUUAGCGGAUGACCUGUGGCUGGGGGUGAAAGGCCAAUCAAACCGGGAGAUAGCUGGUUCUCCCCGAAAGCUAUUUAGGUAGCGCCUCGUGAAUUCAUCUCCGGGGGUAGAGCACUGUUUCGGCUAGGGGGCCAUCCCGGCUUACCAACCCGAUGCAAACUGCGAAUACCGGAGAAUGUUAUCACGGGAGACACACGGCGGGUGCUAACGUCCGUCGUGAAGAGGGAAACAACCCAGACCGCCAGCUAAGGUCCCAAAGUCAUGGUUAAGUGGGAAACGAUGUGGGAAGGCCCAGACAGCCAGGAUGUUGGCUUAGAAGCAGCCAUCAUUUAAAGAAAGCGUAAUAGCUCACUGGUCGAGUCGGCCUGCGCGGAAGAUGUAACGGGGCUAAACCAU